rnacentral:rRNA from 1 species
AUGAGGCAAGGAGGAUUGCGGCUGCGAGCGCUUGCAGACCUGCCACGCAGCAUAUCUGAUGUUGCCCAAUUCUACCGGGCUGAAGAGAAGAAGUCUGCGGAGAAGCAUUUCUGGUCGCAGUAUUUGGCACCGAAUUAUCCGGUGCCCUUUGUCAAUCAGCUGAAGCAGUUGAUCGAACUGCACCAGGCGGCCGAACUAGCCAUGAAGGACUUAGUUGUCUGGCUGUGGCCCGCUGAGCCAAUUCCAAGCAGUUACUUUGGACUCGUGAAGCAGAUUGUUGGUGCUUGCCCUUGGCUCAAAGUCAUUAAGCGGUCGGUCUGUAUAGAAGGUGCACGCAUGGCAUUUGCCCGUGCGAAGGUGCACUGGGGGAAGCUUGAUGCUGAAAAGCUGAUGACUGAGGGACCACCGGAGGGUAAGGAGCACCGCAAGCCCGAAUUAUAUUAUGAUGGUGUCCUGAAAGGAGCCCUCCUUGUGGCAGAACAGUGUACCAAAGACACUAUAUUUCCCUGA